rnacentral:tRNA from 1 species
UGGGAGGUCGUCUAACUGGCAAGACAUCGGACUCUGGAUCCGAGAAUCUAGGUUCGACUCCUAGCCUCCCAGCCA